GAGUUUGAUCCUGGCUCAGAUUGAACGCUGGCGGCAGGCCUAACACAUGCAAGUCGAGCGGCAGCGGGAAAGUAGCUUGCUACUUUUGCCGGCGAGCGGCGGACGGGUGAGUAAUGCCUGGGGAUCUGCCCAGUCGAGGGGGAUAACUACUGGAAACGGUAGCUAAUACCGCAUACGCCCUACGGGGGAAA
rnacentral:rRNA from 1 species